rnacentral:tRNA from 1 species
GGGCGGUUAGCUCAGCUGGUUAGAGCGCUACGUUGACAUCGUAGAGGUCGUUGGUUCGAGUCCAAUACCGCCCA